UACGGGGGGGGCAAGCGUUGCUCGGAAUCACUGGGCGUAAAGCGCACGUAGGCGGACUCUUAAGUCGGUGGUGAAAUCCUGGAGCUCAACUCCAGAACUGCCUUCGAUACUGCGGUGCUUGAGGACUGGAGAGGAGACUGGAAUUCAUGGUGUAGCAGUGAAAUGCGUAGAGAUCAUGAGGAAGACCAGUGGCGAAGGCGGGUCUCUGGACAGUUCCUGACACUGAGACACGAAGGCCAGGGGAGCAAACGGG
rnacentral:rRNA from 1 species